CUGCACCAAAGGUGGUCCCUGUGGAACCAUGCCUCCUGGUGUUCCUGCUUUUUCAGUGGUCUCUGUGUCAACAGCGGUAGAAGUGACACAGUGUCAGUUCAGGACCUGCCCUUUAAGAGAACUGGCAGCUUCUAAUUCCUUCCUUCUGAAAUGUCAUUCUUUGCAAGCUCUGAAAUGUUGUGUAAAAAUUUGGGCCACCCUUGACCAUGAGGAGAGGCUUCAUGGACAGAAAGGAGCUCACCUUUCUCAGCAUUCCAGCUAGCUCACCUACAGCCCAGACUCCUGCGAAAAUUGUCUUGGAAGUUCUAGCCCAGUCAAGCCCUAUAGUUGACUGUAGCCUCGGAUGACAUCACAUGGACCUUCGAGAACUACACAGCUGAUCUCAAUACAACCACAGAAUUUAGAGGCCAAAGGAAAAUUUGAAGAGAAACUUCCAGAACUGUAUUAUUCCCUCCAAAAUAACAGAGGUUCAGAGAAACUGAGUGUAAAGUGCUUCAAAUAUAAUCAAACUAUCUCCAGUUGCUUGGCUUUAAUCUCAUCAUCAUAGUCAUAUCUCAUUACAAAAUGAAGCACACAGACCAGACAUAAAGAAAAUGUUAUUGGCACUCAACUGCAGUUUUUAAAUCCAGAAAUCUUAGACUACUUAUGGGCAUAAUCUUGUUAAUCUUCAUAAUAUGAUGAGGUUUUGGUCACACUGUUGAAUUCCACACCAACAUGGUGGGUAACAGAACUCUUGCUGACAAACCCAUCUCCCAGAUGGCAUUGAGGAUUGAACUAGGAAAAGGCAUGAAAUCAGGCCCUCUCUUCUUCAAGGAAGACCAUGAACCGGAGCUGUGCAGAUGCUGGGAGGGUUUUCCUACUCCUCAUUCUUCAUUUCCUGUGAUCCUCAAAUUGAUUCUCUGCAUGAAAUCCACCAACUGACACAGUAUAUCUCAAGGCCUCUCCUUUUGUCAUCUAUAAUACUCUUGUAUGGACAUGUACCUAUCUUUUAUUCUGUCCAUGUAAGGACAGUUUAACUUACCAAGCUAAUCAGGA
rnacentral:lncRNA from 1 species